UGCGUAGGUGGUUACUUAAGUCAGAGGUGAAAGGCUACGGCUCAACCGUAGUAAGCCUUUGAAACUGGGAAACUUGAGUGCAGGAGAGGAGAGUGGAAUUCCUAGUGUAGCGGUGAAAUGCGUAGAUAUUAGGAGGAACACCAGUUGCGAAGGCGGCUCUCUGGACUGUAACUGACACUGAGGCACGAAAGCGUGGGGAGCAAACA
rnacentral:rRNA from 1 species